rnacentral:rRNA from 1 species
CACGUAGGAUCCAAGCGUUAUCCGGAUUUACUGGGCGUAAAGCGCGUGUAGGUGGUUUGUUAAGUUGGGUGUUAAAUCUCUCGGCUCAACUGAGAGGUGUCGCUCAAAACUAGCAGACUGGAGGACGGUAGAGGAAGGUGGAAUUCCGGGUGUAGUGGUGAAAUGCGUAGAUAUCCGGAGGAACAUCAGUGGCGAAGGCGGCCUUCUGGACCGCUCCUGACACUCCAACGCGAAAGCUAGGGGAGCAAACGGGAUUAGAAACCCCCGUAGUCC